rnacentral:lncRNA from 1 species
AUGACGUGCCCUUAUGGAAAAAACUCUGGGUUCAGAAACAAUGGAGAUACCAAACAAGAUAAGACUAAGCCACAGAGAUAUCUGAAAAGCUGCCAUCAAUCAAACCUCUUUGUGAAGCCGGUUAGUGCAGCUUCCAUUGUUCUAAGCAGCAGGCAAAAGGAACAAAUAAAAUCCAGCUGUUUCUUCACUCUGGCACCAGAAAAUCCCUCCAAAACCCCUCAAGGUGAACCUCACAUCAACCAAAACCAAGACAUGAGCCAGAGCCUAAACAGAGGAAAGACAACAGAAGAGAGGAUUCUAGUGACGUAUCUGGUCAUCAUUCCAAGCAACCGAGCUGAACUUUUGCAUUGACAAACAAUUUUUUCCAGAGCAUUUUUAAAUUUACAAGUUGGUUUGCAACAAAACUUUUCAAAAAGAAGUAUUUAUGAUGGCAAAUCUUUAAAAGAAAUGUGUUCUAGACCAAGAAAGGCAAAGCUUUCACGUCUUGUUUAGUCUCUGGCAUGCUUGUUUGCAAAACACAAGCUCCAGUCUGCAUGUUUCCGCAGUCAACUGACUGUCUUAGAGAAUAUCUCAAAAUCAAUCUGUCCCCGUGCUUGCUUAUGAUUCCGCGGUAAUCCGCUGUUUGUAGUCACAAGUUGUCAGGAGAACAUCAUGUAAGGCAUGGUAUGAAGACUUAAGAAAUCUUGAAAUCAGAAACCUCAGUUUUCUUUCUCUUGAAGUGUUUCUAAGGGAAGAAAA